rnacentral:rRNA from 1 species
AUGAACGCUGGCGGCGUGCCUCAUACAUGCAAGUCGCGCGCACGGACGAGAAGCUUGCUUCUCUGAUGUUAGCGGCGGACGGGUGAGUAACACGUGGAUAACCUACCUAUAAGACUGGGAUAACUUCGGGAAACCGUAGCUAAUACCGGAUAAUAUUUUGAACCGCAUGGUUCAAAAGUGAAAGACGGUCUUGCUGUCACUUAUAGAUGGAUCCGCGCUGCAUUAGCUAGUUGGUAAGGUAACGGCUUACCAAGGCAACGAUGCAUAGCCGACCUGAGAGGGUGAUCGGCCACACUGGAACUGAGACACGGUCCAGACUCCUACGGGAGGCAGCAGUAGGGAAUCUUCCGCAAUGGGCGAAAGCCUGACGGAGCAACGCCGCGUGAGUGAUGAAGGUCUUCGGAUCGUAAAACUCUGUUAUUAGGGAAGAACAUAUGUGUAAGUAACUGUGCACAUCUUGACGGUACCUAAUCAGAAAGCCACGGCUAACUACGUG